AAAAUAUAAAAGCUUGGCUCUGACUUAUUUAUAUAGCAAGUACAAAAGAAUACACAUGGUUUUUAUUGAGAGAGGCGAGGUAAAAAAGAUUGCGACAUUAGAUAAAUAAUUUAAGUUUGUAUUCUUUUUUAAAGUAUUAUAGGCUAUAAAGAAUGCUUUGGAAAGUCCCGCUAACACCAGUGCUGAAGGUUAAUUAAAAGGUGAAAACUUGAAUUAAUUUAGUACACUAAAAUCUGGUUAACUUGGUGCCAGCAUCCGCGGUUAGACCAUGAGAUUAAGUUAUAUUUCAAGGUAAAAAGACAGUUAGGUUUAAAUAAUCUUAGUUUAUUGAUCAUUUAUAGAGAAGUAAAAUUUGUAUAUAAGUAAGUUAAUCCAGUCAUAACUAAUUUACUGAAGCUGUGAUAGUCUUGAGGGAAACUGGGAUUAGAUACCCCACUAUUCUUGACUGUAAACCAAUUAAAUUUACCAGAGUACUACGAAUGCCAAAUAAAAAUUUAAAACUCAAAGAGCUUGGCGGUGUUUUAGACCCAUCAGGGGAACCUGUCCCAUAAUCGACAAUCCACGUCAGACCUAACCUUGUUUUGUACUCAGCUUGUAUACCGUCGUCGCCAGGUAACUUUUAAAAAAACAGAAGUUAGCGAUAAAAAAAAUUUAGUAGAUUAAAACGUCAGAUCAAGGUGCAGCUAAUAAAGAGGAGAGGAUGGGUUACAAUUAUUUUAUUCAUAAUCACGGAAGACCAUAUGAAAGUGUAGUUGAAAGGAGGACUUGAAAGUAAAAUGAAAUAUAUAAACAAUUUGAAUAUGGCUCUGAAACGUGCACACAUCGCCCGUCGCUCUCGCUGAAAAAUGAGAUAAGUCGUAACAUAGCAGAGGUAAUGGAAAUUGUCUCUAGAU
rnacentral:ncRNA from 1 species